rnacentral:rRNA from 1 species
CAGCCGCCGCGGUAAUACGAAGGGUGCAAGCGUUAAUCGGAAUUACUGGGCGUAAAGCGUGCGUAGGCGGUGAGUUAAGUCUGCUGUGAAAUUCCUGGGCUCAACCUGGGGGCUGCGCUUGAUACUUGGUUGCUUGAGUGGGGAAGAGGGUCGUGGAAUUCCCAGUGUAGAGGUGAAAUUCGUAGAUAUUGGGAAGAACACCGGUGGCGAAGGCGGCGACCUGGUCCUUGACUGACGCUGAGGCACGAAAGCGUGGGGAGCAAACAGGAUUAGAUACCCCCGUAGUCCCUGUCUCUUAUAC